AUUGAACGCUGGCGGCAUGCCUUACACAUGCAAGUCGAACGGUAACGGGCCUUCGGGUGCCGACGAGUGGCGAACGGGUGAGUAAUACAUCGGAACGUGCCCGAUCGUGGGGGAUAACGAGGCGAAAGCUUUGCUAAUACCGCAUACGAUCUACGGAUGAAAGCAGGGGACCGCAAGGCCUUGCGCGGACUGAGCGGCCGAUGGCAGAUUAGGUAGUUGGUGGGAUAAAAGCUUACCAAGCCGACGAUCUGUAGCUGGUCUGAGAGGAUGAUCAGCCACACUGGGACUGAGACACGGCCCAGACUCCUACGGGAGGCAGCAGUGGGGAAUUUUGGACAAUGGGCGCAAGCCUGAUCCAGCCAUGCCGCGUGCAGGAUGAAGGCCUUCGGGUUGUAAACUGCUUUUGUACGGAACGAAAAGCCUUCUUUUAAUACAGGAGGGUCAUGACGGUACCGUAAGAAUAAGCACCGGCUAACUACGUG
rnacentral:rRNA from 1 species